rnacentral:rRNA from 1 species
UAGGGAAUCUUCCGCAAUGGACGCAAGUCUGACGGAGCAACGCCGCGUGAGUGAAGAAGGAUUUCGGUUCGUAAAACUCUUUUGUUAGAGAAGAACAGCGCAUAGAGUAACUGUUAUGCGUGUGACGGUAUCUAACCAGAAAGCCACGGCUAACUACGUGCCAGCAGCCGCGGUAAUACGUAGGUGGCAAGCGUUGUCCGGAUUUAUUGGGCGUAAAGCGAGCGCAGGCGGUCAAUUAAGUCUGAUGUGAAAGCCCCCGGCUCAACCGGGGAGGGUCAUUGGAAACUGGUUGACUUGAGUGCAGAAGAGGAGAGUGGAAUUCCAUGUGUAGCGGUGAAAUGCGUAGAUAUAUGGAGGAACGCCAGUGGCGAAGGCGACUCUCUGGUCUGUAACUGACGCUGAGGCUCGAAAGCGUGGGUAGCAAACAGG